UACGUAGGGGGCGAGCGUUGUCCGGAAUCAUUGGGCGUAAAGAGCGUGUAGGCGGCCCGGUAAGUCCGCUGUGAAAGUCCAGGGCUCAACCCUGGGAUGCCGGUGGAUACUGUCGGGCUCGAGUCCGGAAGAGGCGAGUGGAAUUCCUGGUGUAGCGGUGAAAUGCGCAGAUAUCAGGAGGAACACCAAUGGCGAAGGCAGCUCGCUGGGACGUGACUGACGCUGAGACGCGAAAGCGUGGGGAGCAAACAGG
rnacentral:rRNA from 1 species